CAGCCGUAAACUAUGCUCGCUAGGUGUCAGGCAUGGCGCGACCGUGUCUGGUGCCGCAGGGAAGCCGUGAAGCGAGCCACCUGGGAAGUACGGCCGCAAGGCUGAAACUUAAAGGAAUUGGCGGGGGAGCACCACAACAGGUGGAGCCUGCGGUUUAAUUGGAUUCAACGCCGGACAUCUCACCGGAUAAGACAGCAAUAUGUAGGCCAGGCUGAAGACCUUGCCUGAAUCGCUGAGAGGUGGUGCAUGGCGUAGACGUCU
rnacentral:rRNA from 1 species